rnacentral:rRNA from 1 species
UGUGAACCUGCGGAAGGAUCAUUUCUGAAGGCUACACGCCAACAUUGUGAAACGCACUUUCGGGUGCAUUGAAGGAGUGCUUUCGGGCACGCUUUUCUUUUAACUUUUAUUUUUAUAUCUGACAACCAAGAAAAUUUAAAACUUUCAACAACGGAUCUCUUGGUUCUCGCAUCGAUGAAGAACGCAGCAAAGCGCGAUAGGUAAUGCGAAUUGCAGACGUGAGUCAUUGAAUCUUUGAACGCACAUUGCGCUACUGGGCUAUAUGCUCAGUAGCAUGCUUGUUGGAGCGCCGAUCUUUCUCCUCUACCUGUUUCGACAGGCCUGAGGGUUCUGCUCCCGCCGGGAGUGAAAGACAUGGAAGUGCACACGUUAGAUAACUCUGUGCAGUUACACUUUUAUUUUUUGGCCCCCAAUCAAGCAAGGCUACCCGCUGAA